rnacentral:lncRNA from 1 species
CACAAAUGGAGCUUUCCCUGCUGGAGGCACAUUGCAGUUCCCCCUUGGAAAAAAGAAAGUUUAAGAAGCAGUCUCUCCGCAGGAGCCUUUAAUGUUAUUUUCAAAGGCUGAGGUUUGAAACUGAAAGGCGCUUUGGUUUCCAGGGUAUUGCCAACGGGGCUGAAAUUACAUUGCCACAGCCAAGGAAGGUCGUUCAUGUUUAGUCAGCUCUGCUGUCACCAGGGCUCUGCCUCUUAACUUUGCUGGCCUGUCAUAGACAGGGUAAGGGCACAUCAUUUUUGUACUUUGCUAUAUAGCAUGGACACAAGUCUGGAAGGUCUGCAAAACUCUUUUUUUUUUUUUUCCAUCAGGUUUCAUUCAGUCUGCAUUUUUUCUGCUGCUGUGAAUUUCCCAGUCUCAUGGAAUAUCAAAUCGUUCGGAGAUACUGAUUCUGUUCCUGUUCAUAAAGGAGGACUUAUGCAUGAGGCUGAAAUUUCUGAUAUCAGAGGAGAGAGGCUGGUUUGGAGCAGAGGACUGGAGUGGAUAACCAAGUACUGCCUGAUGAAGGAAGGGAAAAAAAAAAAGCUCUCUUGUAGCUGCUGUUGUUGCAGGUCUCCCAGGUAUGUAUCUGCCAGCAUGUGGGUCAUUUCGGUAUUGCAGUAUCUGAGCACCUCUCUUUGUGUUUAUGUCAAUAAAAACAAAAUGAAGCACAACCAAAACACGGUGGGGAAUUGGCGGGACUGA